AUAAGCUUUAGCAAGCUUAAAUUAAAGCUUUCUAAGCUCUCACUUUGCCUUUACUCCAUGGUAGAGGUUUCUCCAACCUUUGGCUCAAGUAGAGAAUCUCCAAAUUUCUUGAAAUAAUUCACCAAAAAUCACUUCCCAAGCUUUAAUCUCUAGGAUUAAUAACUUAAAUCAAGUUGGUUGGGGUGAAUUUGAUGUGUUUAGUAAGGAAGAAUUGAAGAAAAUGAAGAAGAAGAAGAAGAAG
rnacentral:lncRNA from 1 species